CCUACGGGUGGCAGCAGUGGGGAAUUUUGCGCAAUGCUCGUAAGAGUGACGCAGCCACGCCGCGUGAAUGACGAAGGCCUUCCGGUCGUUAAAUUCUUUCUACCGGGUAGCAAAUGCCUAUACGUAACUGUGUAUGUGUUUACGGUACCUGUAUGAGCAGCCCCGGCUAACUCCGUGCCAGCAGCCGCGGUAGUACGGAGGGGGCGUGCGUGGUUCGGAGGUGAUGGGCGUAAAGGGCACGUGGGGGGUGUUGUAAUGCAUUAGGUAAAGACUAGAGCUAAACUUUAGUAACGCUAUUGAUACGACAAUACUAGAGUAGGAGAGAGGAAUGCAGAAUUCGUGGUGUAGCGGUGAAAUGCGUAGAUAUCAGGAGGAAUUCCGUUAGCGAAGGCAGCAAACUGGCUGCAAACUGACGCUGAGGUGCGAAAGCGUGGGUAGCAAACAGGAUUAGAUACCCGAGUAGUC
rnacentral:rRNA from 1 species